rnacentral:rRNA from 1 species
UACAAUGAUGUCCGCCCGGGUACUACGAGCAUCAGCUUAAAACCCAAAGACCUGACGGUGCCUUAGACCCCCCUAGAGGAGCCUGUUCUAGAACCGAUAAUCCCCGUUAAACCUCACCAUUUCUGGCCCAUCCAGCCUAUAUACCGCCGUCGCCAGCUUACCCUGUGAAGGAAUAAAAGUAAGCAAAAAGAGUACUACUCAAAACGUCAGGUCGAGGUGUAGCGAACGAAAUGGGAAGAAAUGGGCUACAUUUUCUAUAAUAGAAUAUCACGAACACGCAAUAUGAAACUAAUGCUUGAAGGAGGAUUUAGUAGUAAAAAGGAAAUAGAGUGUCCUUUUGAACCCGGCCCUGAGGCGCGUACACACCGC